rnacentral:rRNA from 1 species
GUAGGUGGCAAGCGUUGUCCGGAAUUAUUGGGCGUAAAGCGCGCGCAGGCGGUUCUUUAAGUCUGAUGUGAAAGCCCACGGGCUCAACCGUGGAGGGUCAUUGGAAACUGGAGAACUUGAGUACAGAAGAGGAAAGCGGAAUUCCACGUGUAGCGGUGAAAUGCGUAGAGAUGUGGAGGAACACCAGUGGCGAAGGCGGCUUUCUGGUCUGUAACUGACGCUGAGGCGCGAAAGCGUGGGGAGCAAACAGGAUUAGAUACCCUGGUAGUCCACGCCGUAAACGAUGAGUGCUAAGAGUUAGGGGGUUUCCGCCCCUUAGUGCUGCAGCUAACGCAUUAAGCACUCCGCCUGGGGAGUACGGCCGCAAGGCUG